UUUAAUUUCUAAAUUAAUUUUAUAAAAAUCUUCUUUAUUUUUUUGGAAUUUUAAAGAUCUUAUUAAGUUUUUUAAAAAAAAUUUAUAUUUAAUAUGUACCAAAUAAAAGUAAACAUGUUAGUAAGUACAUUGAAAGUGCCAGUAGCCCAGUGGUAGAAUACCUUGUCAUUUGACCAACCAAGAUUCGAAUCUAGGGGUUUACAUAUUUUUAAUUUCAAAUCAUGUAAAACGACGUCGUUUCAUCUCAUUUGAAAACGACGUCGUUUCACUUAACCCCAACAAUAAACGACGUCAAAUAUUUCUGUUAAAUUUAUUGACGGCAUGCUAAAUUGGCAAGUCAGCGAAAACAUUAUUAAUUAAUUCUAAAGUCAAUGAAAGUUUGGUGUUUUUUUGGUCAGCCUAAAAGUUCAUGUUUCUUUUGGCAAUUCGUGCAAAGUUGAGGUUUUUUUUGGCAGAAUUCUCUUUUUGAAAAUAAACUUGUAUAGGUUUUUCUUAGAUUUACUUGUAUUGAAUAAAGUGUAAGAGAUAUUCAUAAAUAUCCGUAAUUGUUCGCAAACAGUUAUAAUUUUUUUGGAUAGCCAGAAAACUGGAUAUCAGUAUUUUUAUAGAUUAAAAUAAUCAAAAAUUAGAAAUCUGUUAACUACGUAGCAAAUCAUAAAUACUGAAUACUACAUUAGUAUCUGCUAUGUGUCCACCCCUAAUUUCGGUUCCACUAAUUUCAUUUAUCCAGUGCAAGAUAUGAGUCACAACCCACAGAAACAUAAAAGAGGAUUUUUUUUAUUAUUAUAGCUUAUUUUUUAGAUAAGCGAAAAUCAUUAAAAAGAGAUGGAAUUCUUACAAAACCACUGAAAUGAUUUCCAUCUUAUAUUACAUGUAGAAAAUUAAAAAUAUUUUUUUUAAUUUUUACAGAACUCUAAUAUAAAAUAAUAAUCUAGUUUAAUAUACUCGAAAUAUGAUUUUAAAUAUGUACACAUUUAUAUACAUAUAUUCAUUGAAUAUAUUAUAAAAAAAAUAUUAUUUUAGUUUAAUAUACAAAACAUAUAUAAGAGCUUCUCUUUUUAAAUGAUUUAUGAAAUGAAUGGUGAAACAAACAUAAUUAAAUUUAGAAAAUUUGGAUAUAUUAAAUAUAUGACCAAAUUUAAAAUUUUUGUAGGAUUUAGUUUGACAUGAAUUGAAUAUUAAAAUUAGGAUCACUAUAUUAAUUUCUUACGCAAUAAAAUAUUAGUAUAGAUAUAUUUGAUGCAUUUAGAUUGAAAUCAAAGUUUGUAAGGGCGAUAAAUUAAAAGGUCAAUCAAAAUGAUGAGUUUUUCUUUUUCGAAACGUUUUUGGUAUUGAUUUUUCUUUUACAGAAAUUAUAAUAUACAGUGACCAAGAUAGAAAAAAUAAUUAAAAUAGUCUAUUGGUGUUGAAUUUUUAAAUAUUUUGUAAUAGACAACGACUGAGAUACAAAAGAAGAAAAGAAUACUAAGAACAUGAUUAAUGGAAAGACCGUAACUUUAAUGCUAUAAAAUCAAAUUAAAUAAAAAGUAACUAAACUAUUGGAGCUAAAAGUUAUGUCUGCCUUCCAUUUCGUUCACUUGUCAAUACGAGGGCAAGGCUUAAACGAACGAAGUCGCCACCAUCUAAAUCGGGUCUUGAUUUACUAAGAGGGUCACAAGAAUAGGAGAAAAGCUUAGCCACACAUCUACAGAACCAUCAACCAUUUAAAAGCUGCUGUCAGGAAAUAAAGAAAAAAGCAGAAAAAAAAUAACUAAUGACAUAUAUCCGAUCAUGUUUAAGCAAGUAGGAGGAGGGAUCUUUACCGCAUUUUUCUAUUGUCCUUUCCAAAAACUAAUUUUAGAUCUGCCACCGUCUCUGAAUAACCGCACAAAAUGCUUAGUCACUGAAUCUCGUCUUCCUUUGGCGCCACCAUCCCAACCAAGGGCGAAUGUAGGUUUUACGUUAGGGGCACGUGCACACUGCUCAUACUAAAUUUGAUAUUCAGAAUUUAGUUUAAGUAUUUUAGUGGUAAUUUUUAGCUAUAGAAACAGUCACUAAAAUUGCUUUGUGCACCCAUAUCAGUCUAUGAUUAACAUUUUUCAUUUUUUUUUCCUUACCACUUAUGCACCAUCUUAUUACUAGGAUUCUUUGGAUUCACCCAUGACCUCAACAAAAAAUCGCCAAGAUUGAGCGAUGAGUUUUCUGAUCUAAAUCCUACUAUAUAAAAGAAACUAUUUUUAAAGCUUUUUAGGCAUGCCCAUAGGACAAAAUAUUUAGAACCAGUUAUUUAGACAUGUCAUCAAGAGUUUUUGAGUUCCCCGCAUAAAGACCUAAAUAAGCAUGUUUUAAGCUACGUCUAUUAUUGAAACCCAAAUUCUCUCCACUUUGUCGUAUCACCUUCACCAGUCAACGCUAUUUUUGGCUUUGAUUAGGUUCACCUCCGUAUUCCUUCCCUUCUCUAAUCUUCUCCAAUAAAAAUCCGUGGAACUCUUCAGCUCCCCCUCUCUUCUCAUUCUAUCGAUAUCUCUGUAAAUAAUUGAUGCAAGGAUCGGGAAUCAAACAUCGCUUACUCUCUUAUUGUGUCUCUCAACCGGCUAAUCUUUAAUUCCACUGUUGAAAAUGUCUGCUUCCGAUGCUAUUUCUGUCCAGACAGAUGUUACCAAGGCCAACUUUGACGAUCUCCACGCUCUUGCAAAUACGAACUUAUAACUCCCCGGCUAUGACCUCAACUAGGCGGCAGCAACGAAUCGUUUGUCGUCCGUUUUUUCAUUGAGCUUUUGGUCAUGCUGUAUUUGUCUUUGUGGGAUGGCGCAGCCACAAGUUUUGGGGGAAUUUGUGCUCAGGCUAUACUACCCACUCUGUCAUGGUGGUCAUCACGGUGAAUCCUAAAAAUUUUGGAGGUAUUGGUGGGACAGAAGAGGUCCUCCCACGUGUUGAGAUCUUCACAGUGCCUCUCCAAAGUCCAACGACUAGACCCAUAAGGCUUAUUUUCUAUGUAAGGCUACGAUCGUCGGUGUCCUCCAGCAAAAUGGUUGGUCGACAGAAGAGGUCUUCUGUCGCUUGCACUGGUUGCAGAAGGAGAUUGGACAAAUCCAAGACUUCACUACAGUGCAAUAGAUGUGUUUCACCAAACGUCACUGGAGUCAUCAGGUUCCAUGCCGAGUAACCUUUAGAUGAUGGCUACGAAAAUGCUGUAUUUGUGGUGUCUGACACGGAGAUGACCAAACAGACCAAGAAAAAUGCAGCCACAAUGGCUCUUGAGGAGAUGUGGCUCUCAACACACAUUCAGAGGUUGCAAGCAGCAGCAAAGCACCACAGGUGUACGACUAAUCGGAACAACCACCAGCAUCUGGCAACUUCACAUGUGAUGCAUACACGAAAGAAAUGGACGGUGAGGCAGCAAAACCACCAAGCUUUGGAGACGAUGAGAACACCCGCAAGCGCCUGUGAGUAAUAUUUUCAAGUCCAACAAUGUCAUUCCCACUUAACUUCUGUACCUUAAAUAACUAUUUUCCAUGUUUUUUAUUUUUCCAGCUUUGGUUUUUUUUUUUUGAAUUAUCUUCUGCUUAACUGUUACUUGGUUUUAAAAUAAAGUUUUUUUAAUAAAGGGAACGUUGACGGGAAUUUGCAUAUUGGGAAAAAGGCUUUGUUUCACUUUGUGCAUGAAUACAUAUUCAGAUAGUAAAACAGCCAUCAACCUCAAUAUUAUAAGAAUCUGAUGCCGUCUUAUUUUUAAAAGUACCACCACAAUUUGACUAACAUAUUCGAGAGGUUUGAUGGCGAGGUAUUCGGAGUACAACAACACACAAGCCCACUUCAUCAAAGAGUUGAAUACUUACAUGCUAAAAAAUAAAAAUCUUGGUUUCCAUCACUUCUCAAGAAAACAACCCAAAAUAUGUGCUCAUCCUCUUAGAAAAUCUAUUUCUGAAUCUGAAGUUUGGUAAUGUCUUUAAGCUAUCUCCUACUCGGUGAAUAGUUACUUUUAUUUUAAAUAAAGAGGAACGUUGACGUGUC